CAAGAUUCUCGGGGUAGGGUGAAAUUCCCAACCGGCGGUAAUGUUCAAAGCGAACUGAGCCCGCGACUCACUUGUUCUGCUUGCAGAGAAGUGACUGAUCUGGUGUGAAUCCAGAGCCGACGGUAAAGUCCGGAUGGGAGAGGAUCAUA
rfam:Paenibacillus sp. FSL H7-0737, complete genome.